GCUCUGUAAGUGGGGAGGUGCACUGCGGACAGUCCCGUUCCGGGCCUUGAAGUUAGUGACACUUCCCCCCCAGAGACACGACCGCACUCCUCAGAUCAGGCCGGCGGCAGACACCUGUUCACACGGGCGCCUUCCACAGCCACAGACGGAGUUGAGAGCGGCGAGUCCAGAGCCACCAAUUACCUAUCUCCUGCAACUCAUCCCUCCCGCAUAGCCACCUGGGGUACCCCUGCAUUGCCUGCAUUGUCGGAAGAUCACCACAAACCCUCCCCCCUCUCGAGAAAGGACCAAGCUGUGGAAACAGACUCAUUUACCGUGACCCCCACAAUACUGAAUAGUGAAUAUAAGCCUACACAGGAACACAGGUGUCAUCACAACAGUACAAAGUCCACCCAGAACGUGUGAAUGUGUAUGACACUUUAUGACAAGAGAUAAACAUUUUUGAAAUGAACUUGAGAAUUCCGUGAAAUUAUUUCAACAGAAGGGAGGAGCCAGUUGUUACAGUUGCUUUCACUAUCCAUGGAAAGUUCUGCAGAGCAACCGGAGACUGAGCAAGGGCUGCCAGCAGGCUAUAACCCAGGAGGCCGUGCCAACUUGCUAGGGUGAAGGUCAAGUAUAGGAAGAAGAGAUGGUGAGGACAGCCCGGGACGCCCUAGUGACCGCCCUGGAAAACUUGGAGAAGAAGGAACUAUAGACGUUCAGGAACAAGCUGUAUGACUGGCCAAACAAAGAGGGAACUAGAAAGAUCCAAGAGGCCAGCUAGAGGACAAAUGCCCUGAUGACGUUGUUAAUAAGAUCAGGGAAUUCUACACGUUUCCCUAUGGGAUCCAGGUGGUCUUGGAAGUUCUAGAAGCUAUAGCCGAGAAGGAAGUGGCGGCAA